GGACGAACGCUGGCGGCGUGCUUAACACAUGCAAGUCGAGCGGUAAGGCCCUUUCGGGGGUACACGAGCGGCGAACGGGUGAGUAACACGUGGGUGACCUGCCCUCAGCUCUGGGAUAAGGCCUGGGAAACCGGGUCUAAUACCGGAUAUGACUCCAUGACGGCAUGUUGUGGGGUGGAAAGCCUUGUGCGGCUGAGGAUGGGCCCGCGGCCUAUCAGCUUGUUGGUGGGGUGAUGGCCUACCAAGGGGGCACGACGGGUAGCCGGCCUGAGAGGGCGACCGGGCCACACUGGGACUGAGACACGGCCCAGACUCCUACGGGAGGCAGCAGUGGGGAAUCUUGCGCAAUGGGCGAAAGCCUGACGCAGCGACGCCG
rnacentral:rRNA from 1 species